rnacentral:rRNA from 1 species
GAACGCUCUUGGGGAUUUUGGUCUUCAGGGGAGUGGCGCACGGGUGAGUAGCGCGUGGGAACCUGCCCUCUUGUGGGGGAUAACCGAGGGAAACUUCGGCUAAUACCGCAUGCGCCCCGGUGAUGAGCCGGGGGAAAGAUUGAUCGCAGGAGGAGGGGCCCGCGUCGGAUUAGGUAGUUGGUGGGGUAACGGCCUACCAAGCCAUUGAUCCGUAGCUGGUCUGAGGGGAUGAUCAGCCACACUGGGACUGAGACACGGCCCAGACUCCUACGGGAGGCAGCAGUGGGGAAUAUUGGACAAUGGGCGCAAGCCUGAUCCAGCAAUGCCGCGUGAGUGAUGAAGGCCUUAGGGUUGUAAAGCUCUUUCGGCGGGGACGAUGAUGACGGUACCCGCAGAAGAAGCCCCGGCUAACUUCGUG